rnacentral:rRNA from 1 species
CCUACGGGUGGCUGCAGUGAGGAAUAUUGGUCAAUGGACGAGAGUCUGAACCAGCCAAGUAGCGUGAAGGAUGACUGCCCUAUGGGUUGUAAACUUCUUUUAUAUGGGAAUAAAAUGUUCCACGUGUGGGAUUUUGUAUGUACCAUAUGAAUAAGGAUCGGCUAACUCCGUGCCAGCAGCCGCGGUAAUACGGAGGAUCCGAGCGUUAUCAGGAUUUUUUGGGUUUAAAGGGCGCGAAGGUGGCUGGGUAAGUCAGGUGUGAAGGUUUGCGGCUCAACCGUAAAAUUGCAGUUGAAACUGGCAGUCUUGAGUACAGUAGAGGUGGGCGGAAUUCGUGGUGUAGCGGUGAAAUGCUGAGAUAUCACGAAGAACUCCGAUGGCGAAGGCAGCUCACUGGACUGCAACUGACACUGAGGCUCGAAAGUGUGGGUAUCAAACAGGAUUAGAUACCCUAGUAGUC